rnacentral:rRNA from 1 species
UACGGGGGGGGCAAGCGUUGUUCGGAAUUACUGGGCGUAAAGGGCUCGUAGGCGGCCAACUAAGUCAGACGUGAAAUCCCUCGGCUUAACCGGGGAACUGCGUCUGAUACUGGAUGGCUUGAGUUUGGGAGAGGGAUGCGGAAUUCCAGGUGUAGCGGUGAAAUGCGUAGAUAUCAGGAGGAACACCAACGGCGAAGGCAGCUCUCUGGGACGUUACUGACGCUGAGACGCGAAAGCGUGGGGAGCAAACAGG